rnacentral:lncRNA from 1 species
UUGCUGAAAUCACAAAACUGGUACAUACAAAUUUUAAAAGAGCCAAAAAAAAACCAAACUUAUCCAAAAUAUACAAACAUUUUGGUAAAUAAAAUGAAAUAAAAGAUUGUUUAGGAAUUCCUCAGAUUUCUGAUUAUCAUUCAUUUCAAAAUUUCUCCCUUGCAUCAUGCAUUCUGACACAGCACUUUCGGUACUUUUCUUGCUUUCAUCUUUCAGUCUACCAAUCAUUAUUUUUCUUACUUCAUCCAUCCUUCCUCUUCUUUUACUCUAGCAUAUCAUCUUUUCACAGUUAACCAUACUCCACAUUCUUUUAGCAACAACUUUCAUUCCUACAUUUUCUCACAUCUCAUUUAUUUCUUUUUCUUUCUUUUGUCUUUGACACACAACCUAUAAAUACUCUUUCACAAUUUUUCAGAUAGAGGAAAUUUGUGUACCAGCUCCUAUUCUUGUAAAAAAAAAUAUGAGUAUUUUUAAUGAUUUUUUUAACCACCCCCAAAUUUCAAUGUUCUUCAAUAAUUUUAUGAAAAAUUUAACUAAUUAUCUUUUUAAUUUGACCCCCUCUAAAAAAAAAAUAAAAUAAAAAUAAAAAAAUCUAAUAUUUUUUUAAAAUGCAGAAAAUUAAAAUUUAGCAAAGUUUAUAAAAUUAUUUAUGUUUUCUUAAACAUAAAUAUGGGAAUCUUCCAAAAACUGGACCAAAUAAAGUGACAAGUACUCUACUAUUUGUUUAUAUUUAUUAGUCAUAAAAUUUUACCUCCUGCGAAAUAAUCUAUUAAAGUAUACAAUAAAACAAUUUACUUUUCUGUUUGAGUGAUCAUCAAUGUUGACAUUUAAAUGAGCAACCUAUGCAGAAAGAUGUGUCAUACGUGCAACAUGCAUGUAUUUAAUUUCAGUUCCGAUGGUACCAACUUAUAUCUAGGUCAGUAAAACAACAACAUCUUGCAUAUUUAAUGCAUGUUACAAUAAAUAAAAAAAAGGUGAAGUGUAAUUGAAAGACAUUAAUGUGUCACAGGUAAAAAAAAAAAAGAUCGUCGACAAAAUUAAAUUUGUUUCAAUUGUAUAUUUGAACGAUGCAAUAAAACCAUAAUUUCAUCGUGGGAAAUAUUUCAAGGCCAAAAACUGAGAAAUGAAGUUAAAUAUAUAUUCUUCAGAUAUAAACUUUGAUCUAGUUUUAAUGCAUAUACUUUUAACCAGA